rnacentral:tRNA from 1 species
UGUGGCUCAGUGGCAGAGCGCAUGCCUAGCAUGUGUGAAGCACUGGGUUCGAUUCUCAGCA